rnacentral:rRNA from 1 species
ACACUCCUGCGGGAGGCAGCAGUAGGGAAUCUUCCACAAUGGGUGCAAACCUGAUGGAGCAAUGCCGCGUGAGUGAAGAAGGUCUUCGGAUCGUAAAGCUCUGUUGUUAGAGAAGAACACGUGCUAGGUAACUACUAGCGCCUUGACGGUAUCUAACCAGAAAGUCACGGCUAACUACGUGCCAGCAGCCGCGGUAAUACGUAGGUGACAAGCGUUGUCCGGAUUUAUUGGGCGUAAAGGGAGCGCAGGCGGUCUGUUUAGUCUAAUGUGAAAGCCCACGGCUUAACCGUGGAACGGCAUUGGAAACUGACAGACUUGAAUGUAGAAGAGGAAAAUGGAAUUCCAAGUGUAGCGGUGGAAUGCGUAGAUAUUUGGAGGAACACCAGUGGCGAAGGCGAUUUUCUGGUCUAACAUUGACGCUGAGGCUCGAAAGCGUGGGGAGCGAACAGGAUUAGAAACCCUAGUAGUCCCA